GGACCAAGGAGUGCAAAAAGUUGGCGAGUAGUAAGGUGUCUCUAAACCGUAAAGCGUACCGAAAGGACGCGGCCGACGGCCUCUUCGCGGAGGCCCCGGCCAAUCGGAACGAUGGCGCGCUCUCAGCGCGUCCGCAGUUCCUAGGCGGUCUCUGACUCGUUUCGGCGAGAUGAGCCGUCGAUCAGCUUACUUUUUGCUACCCGAAAGAUGGUGAACUAUGCGAAAUAAGAGCGAAUCUAGGGGAAACCCUGGUGGAGGUUCAUAGUGCUUCUGACGUGCAAAUCGAUCCUGCUAGUCUCGCAUAGGGGCGAAAGACCAAUCGAACUAUCUAGUAGCUGGUUCCAUUCGAAGUUUCCCUCAGGAUAGCUGGACCGGCUAUGGCGUCGCACCAGCGGCGUACAUCAGUCUCAUGAGAUAAAGCGAAUGACUAGAGGUAUUGGGGUCGAAACGACUUCAACCUAUUCUCAAACUUUAAAUGUGUGAGAACCGCGAACUUGCGAACGAGCGGACUCGUUCCGCGCGAAGUCGCGGAUAAUGGAUGCUAGGUCCAAGUGGGCCAUUUUUGGUAAGCAGAACUGGCGAUGUGGGAUGAACCAAGAGCCGGGUUAAAGUGCCUAAAAUCGCACGAACUAGAUACCACAAAAGGCGUUAGUAACUGGAGAUAGUGGGGCGGUGGCCAUGGAAGUCGGA
rnacentral:rRNA from 1 species